CAUCCUGAGAAGAGCAGCAAAAAUGUGACUUUGAGGUCUUGGAGGAGGCAAGCAUGUUGACUAGGGUACAGAAGGAUCCUGAGAGCCCAGAGAACAUCUAAAAAGAGAAAGCAGUCGUGCUGAAGACUUCUGACUGAUUAAUAUGACUAAAGCCUGCGGACACAGCUGCUUAUAUCUCCACACUUCCUUACCAACUCCUCAGCAUAGUCUUCUUGAUAGUGCAAUGCUCUGGUUCUGCUCUCUGCUGCGCUAGUGGAAUCUGGCACCAACUACAUGCACAGGAACUGCAGAUUAUAUAACACAAGGGAUUACAGCGUGUUUCGUGGACACAAAGUGUCCUGUUGUUGGAAUGGAGAUGAUCUAGGCCAUGCUCUGUAACCUGCUGAGAAAGCCAUGGAGAACCGUGGGGAUGGACAAAGUUGCCUAAGACUUAGUACCAUAUUACUGCAGAGCUAAGACCAUAAUCUAAGACUCAUGGGUCUCAUUCUA